rnacentral:rRNA from 1 species
UAGGGAAUCUUCGGCAAUGGGGGGAACCCUGACCGAGCAACGCCGCGUGAGUGAAGAAGGUUUUCGGAUCGUAAAGCUCUGUUGUUAAGGAAGAACGAGUGUGAGAAUGGAAAGUUCAUACUGUGACGGUACUUAACCAGAAAGGGACGGCUAACUACGUGCCAGCAGCCGCGGUAAUACGUAGGUGGCAAGCGUUGUCCGGAUUUAUUGGGCGUAAAGCGAGCGCAGGCGGUCAAUUAAGUCUGAUGUGAAAGCCCCCGGCUCAACCGGGGAGGGUCAUUGGAAACUGGUUGACUUUAGUGCAGAAGAGGAGAGUGGAAUUCCAUGUGUAGCGGUGAAAUGCGUAGAUAUAUGGAGGAACACCAGUGGCGAAGGCGACUCUCUGGUCUGUAACUGACGCUGAGGCUCGAAAGCGUGGGUAGCAAACAGG